GCCCGCCCGCUGGCCGGGGACCAGCCGCCGCCGGGCCACCUGUGCCGGGGCGGGACAAACGCAGCCGAGCGCUGGGACAAACGGGGCCACGGCGCAGGCACACCUCGCCACCGGGCCCCCCCCGGGUCUCCAAAAUGAUCAACUUUGCAGCGGACGCAGCUCACUGGCGUUUUCUCAGAGGCAGCUGUAACUACCAUUAUCAGAACAGGAGCUGUGCCAACCUGACUUGUGCUUUGCAGAAGACCUCCAGGGAAAAGGAAAAACCCUACAUACUCCUGGAAAUCGCAUCAGUGAUUCAUUUAUUGGUUGUCUCUCAUACUCCUGCCAUGCACUGCUGUGAAGAACCUGGCUCCUUCUCAGUAACCUUCUCAGAAGUACUAUGAGUCUGCUAUUACACCCCCCCUGAGGCCAUCUCUUCUUCAGGCUGAAGAGGCCCAAUUCCCUGAGCAUCUCCUCACAGGGCAAGUGCUCCAGCUGCCAACAAUUUCAGUGGAGUGGUGAACUCGCUCCAGUUUGUCAGUGUCCUUAUUGUGGAGGGGAGCCCGGAACUGGAUUCACUCUAAAGAGUGCUGAGUAGAGGUGGUGUAAUCACUUCCCUUGAUCUGCUGGCUCUGAGCCUGCACAUACAGCUCAGGGUGUUGUUGGCAUUCUCUGCUGUCAGGGCACACCACUGGCUCGUGUGCUGCUUGCUGCCUGCCAAGACCUCCACCUCCUUUUCAGCAGUGCUGCUCCACAGACGGUCAGUCCCCAGCCUACACUGGUGCAAGGGUCUCUUCCUUCCCAGGUGCAGGACUAUGCAUUUGGCCUUGCUGAAUUUCGUAGAAGUUCCUGUCAGUCCAUUCCUUCAGCCUGUCUAGGUCUCUCUGGAUGGCAGCCCUGCCCUCAAGUGUACGGAAUUGUCAUCCCAAUUUGAUGCUGCCGGCGCACUUGAGAGUGCAUUUCAUUGCCCCCCCUCCCCCAAACUGUUAACAGUGUUUAACAGUGUUAAAAUGGACAGAUCCCAGGACAGGUCUGUGUGCUACUCACUGCCAGCAUCCAGUUAGAGUACAGCCCAUACCCUCUGAGCCUGACCAUUCAAACAGCUUUUUACCAGAUGGGUAUCUAUUUGUCCACCCAUCCAGAUAUCAAUGUCCCAAACUGAAUACAAGAAUAUUGUAGGAAAUUAUGUUGAAAGCUUUACUAAACUUUAAAAAUAUUAACAUCUGGAAAUCAGUCUACUUUUUCCUAUGUUGUCCUAGUCAGUCUAAUAAAAGGCCUUAUCUCUACCUAUACAGCUUAUAUGUGUCCUUAAGCCACAGUAGUUAUGACAGUGUUACCAUGUAGAGAUGCCUCGUGAAGAAUUGUGCAAUCCAAAAUUAGGAGAAUCAUUUGUCUCACUGUGUCUACGGAUGUCAAUAUUGCCUUUAACUAUGAAACAAGAUACAAUCUCUUUCAUAGCAUCUCUGCAUCAUUCAGAUCAUAGUAUAUGAUCAUAUGUAGUAGGGGCAAAUAAGGAGGCACACUGAUGGGAGCUGUUGUUUUCAACUGCUUUGGUUACAGAAGGUAAACAGCUUGUAAUCACUAAAGAAAGAGGACUGUAGAAGUAGAAAUGUGGUCUGAUGGCCGAGAUAAUUGAAAACUGCUUGUGAAUCUUUGAUGGACUCUCCUACAGUCCCUUGCUCUUGAAGCAGUAAUGCUGAAAAAGAGUUUUCUACAUAUUUAUUGACUGUAUUCCUGAGGUUUUGGAUGCUGACUGGCCGUUCUUUUAUCUCCAUAAA